UGCGCAUAGCUGCGCGUUAGUCAAUCGUUAGUACUGAGUGUUUAGGUGCUAGGUUAACCGACUCGAAAUAAUAUUAAAGUUAUUGUUUCAAUCGCUUCAUUAAGGAAGUAUUAAUUUAUCGAGCUUGUCGCGAAUUUGCGUGAGAUAGGCGCUAGAAUUGAAUAAACGUUUUUUGAACGACGGAGCUUACAAAUAUGGACGACAAACUUCGACAAAUGGAAGAUGAGAUGAACAGAUUUGAAGCUGAAAUCGGAGGGCAACUUGUAACACCAAUUGUACGACCAGUGAUUGGAGCGAAUACAUAUAAUCAAGUCGCUAGACAAUUGGAGCAACAUGAGCUUCCCACACCUGUGGUUGCGGCAGCUGCAGCAGCGACAUUGGCUUUUCCUCCAAUGAUUGGAUUCCCUCCACCGCCACCACCCCCACCUCCUCCUCCACCUCCACCAAUGUUAAUUCCUCAGCAAGUAGCACGACAAGGUACAGUUCCCAUUACAACGUAUUCUUCACCUGCACAAAUAAGUAAUCCAUAUAUAUCAAAUAUGGUUGAUCCAUGUCUAAGUGCAACACCAAAAACAUACGAUUCUACAUCAACGCCAAUGAUCCAUCCUGAAAUUAUUGAGCAAAUUAUUAAUACAAAAAUACCUGAAGACGAGGGUAAAAAGAAACCAAAAGUAAAGGGUGUCAGCACAGCUGCUGAAUUAGCUAUUAGUCAAGGAAAAGCAAGUUCUAUUAUGGCUAACGCUAGUGCAGAGGAGAGUCAUCCCAAGGGUAAAGGAAAGAAAAAUAAGAAGAUUAUAAGAACAGCUGGUGGUCAAACAUGGGAAGAUCCUUCUUUGUUAGAAUGGGACGAAGAUGAUUUCAGAAUAUUUUGUGGGGAUCUAGGAAAUGAUGUCACUGAUGAAAUGUUGGUGAGAGUAUUUGGAAAAUAUCCUAGUUUUCAAAAAGCAAAAGUAGUCAGAGAUAAACGGACAAAUAAAACCAAAGGUUUUGGAUUUGUGUCUUUUAAGGAUCCACAAGAUUUCAUUAAGGCAAUGAAGGAAAUGAAUGGACGAUAUGUAGGAUCGCGUCCGAUUAAACUUCGAAAGAGCUCCUGGAAGCAGAGGAAUCUGGAAUCUGUACGGAAAAAAGAGAAGGAGAAGCAAGCAUUGAUUGGUCUGCUUACUGGCCGAUGAAAGAGAGAUAAACGAGAUCAAAUAUUCAUUAUUAAAUUGUUUAUCGAUAUCAUUGUUAUUGAUAAUCAUUGAUAACUUCUGAUUGCACAAGAGAAGAAGCAUAAGAGUCAUGAAUACAAUUACGAGGAUGAUAUUCACGAGUUUCAUCAUCAUUUCGCAAAAGGUAUUUUCCUCUACAAAAUAGACGAUUUACAAUGAAGAUUCGCUGCUGUCAUUCAGAUUGUGGAUGAACAUGAUACAACGUGCGAUAAUACUGCCAUACCGAAUUUUUUCUGCAUAUAUUGUACGUACUACAUACAUAUACAUUAUAAAUGCCAAUAAAAGAAAGGACAAUCGGCAGAUCGAUUAGGACGCAAAGAUUGAAAUUUAGACUGAUUUAGAGUUACGCCAGGUUACGCGAGGGCGAGUGACAAAGCGAGUGAAAAAUAUAUAUACUUAGAAUGGAAGAAACAGAUCGGCAUCUAGGCGAACAUGGAGAGACUGAGAUUGAGCCACUUGGGGUAAUGGGAGAAAUUUAUCAAAUAAGAUUGUUAUAUCGAUUAGGAAAAAAAGACUGCGUUAGCGUUGUAUACGCUGAUUUAUUCGAUAUGUCCAAACGCGUCAUUCGCGCUUGAUGAUCUUUCUAUGAGAACGAUCACAGGU